GCCCAGACUCCUACGGGAGGCAGCAGUGGGGGAUAUUGCACAAUGGGGGAAACCCUGAUGCAGCGACGCCGCGUGAGUGAAGAAGUCCUUCGUUACGUAAAGCUCUAUCAGCAGGGAAGAAAAUGACGGUACCUGACUAAGAAGCCCCGGCUAACUACGUGCCAGCAGCCGCGGUAAUACGUAGGGGGCAAGCGUUAUCCGGAAUUACUGGGUGUAAAGGGAGCGCAGACGGCAGUGCAAGUCUGGAGUGAAAGCCCGUGGCUUAACCACGGGACUGCUCUGGAAACUGUGCAGCUAGAGUGCAGGAGAGGCAGGCGGAAUUCCUAGUGUAGCGGUGAAAUGCGUAGAUAUUAGGAGGAACACCAGUGGCGAAGGCGUCUUACUGGACCGAAACUGACGUUGAGGCUCGAAAGCGUGGGGAGCAAACAGGAUGAGAUACCCCAGUAC
rnacentral:rRNA from 1 species